AACCAAUGGUGAGGUCACCUUCUUAACAAAUCCUUGUAUCUCUCCCAUGCAUCGUAGAGUGUUUCUAAAUCCAUCUGCACAAAAGAGGAGAUAUCAUUAUGUAAUUU
rnacentral:snoRNA from 1 species